UGUUGCUUUUAGUUUGUUAUUACGUUAUGUUUGUUUUUUGGCUUAAUUUAAAUGUUUGGGAACUUGUGGUUCUGAAUGAAAAUGUGGGUUUGUGGUAUUUUAGCUCAAAGUCUCUUAUUUUGCAAGCUCUGGUUUCAAAUGCAAUCUCUGGUUUUUGAAGAUAGUAUAAAGGUGGGCAAAGGAGAAGGGCAAUUGAAAAGAUCGAAGAAGGAAGUUCAAUUUAUCAAGAUCAAGUUUUGGAGUAGCAGACACCACGCCACCUUCGAUUUGAGUACGUGUCUGAGAGAUGUCAAACAAGGACUUUGAAAAUUACCUUGAUGAUAAAGCUAAUUGGCCAAAACCAAUUUGAAUGUUAGAAUGCAAUCAAGGAAUGAUACUUUGUUUCAACAAUUUGAAGACAAUGAUGUUGAUGUGGUAGAUGAAGAAAGCUCGGGGGCGAAUCAAGAAGGGGAAAACAUGCAUUUGAAUGACGACAAUGUUAUGAAUGAUGUUAGAGACCACAUAGCUGGAUUUUGAUUAUUGAGCAUAUAUGUGUUGUAUUAGCACAUGGAUAUCAAAAUAGUAUGUCUAAGGUUUAAUUUCA